rnacentral:rRNA from 1 species
UACGGAGGUGGCAAGCGUUGCUCGGAAUCACUGGGCGUAAAGGGCGCGUAGGCGGGGAGGUAAGUCGGGUGUGAAAUCCCUCGGCCCAACUGAGGAACUGCGCCCGAGACUGCUUCUCUUGAGUCCCGGAGAGGAAGAUGGAAUUCCCGGUGUAGCGGUGAAAUGUGUAGAGAUCGGGAGGAACACCGGUGGCGAAGGCGGCCUUCUGGACAGUGACUGACGCUGAGACGCGAAAGCGUGGGGAGCAAACAGG